UAACGAAUCUUCCGCAAUGCGCGAAAGCGUGACGGAGCAAUGCCGCGUGCAGGAUGAAGCCCCUCGGGGUGUAAACUGCUGUCAGGGAUUAGGAACACAAUGACCAGUCCCAAAGGAAGAGACGACUAACUCUGUGUCAGCAGUCGCGGUAAUACAGAGGUCUCGAGCGUUAGUCGGAAUCACUGGGCUUAAAGCGUGCGUAGGCGGAUGUGCAGGCGUCGUGUGAAAGCCCUCGGCUCAACCGGGGAAUUGCACGGCGAACCGCAUGUCUCGAGACAAGUAGGGGCGGUCGGAACGAUAGGUGGAGUGGUGAAAUGCGUUGAUAUCUAUCGGAACGCCAAAAGGUGAAGACAGACCGCUGGGCUUGUCUGACGCUGAGGCACGAAAGCGUGGGGAGCGAAACGGGAUUAGAUAUCCCGGUAGUCCACGCCCUAAACAAUGUGCACUAGAU
rnacentral:rRNA from 1 species